rnacentral:lncRNA from 1 species
GAUGCUUAGUAUUAUUAUGUUUUGAACACAGAGAAAUCUCAUAUGUGUAAAACUGCAGAGAAUUCUAGUGUGGACAUUUACGAAUCAGGAAAUGAUUUCCAUGGAGAACUUUCACUCAGAGCCUCGUGCUGAUUUGUGAAAUCUUCGCCCGGGGCUUGUGUCUCCUGAACAAACUGAAAGUUUUGUGAUUUUUAGAUGUCAGAGGUGAAUUUGAAAGUCACGGCCAGAAGUAAGGGUAGAUAUGGGCAAUUACCUCAGUAAACCAGGCGUAAAAUGUGCUGGUAAUAUUUGGCUCAUUUAGUCUUCAGUUCUCUACUUUGCUGUGGUUGUAAAGACAUGGCCUUUCUUUCCUUUUACAAUUUUGAAUUUAGACCUCCAGAGAACAAAAUGCACCAAUCCAUCAUCUUCCUGUGGCCACUGUCAUCUCAGAACCAUCUCUGAGGCCCAGUGAGUGAACCAGUCAAUGCAAGACUCGGAGGCCAGGGCAGAUUGCCCACUGGGGUGUGGCUGGCCAACCUGGGGUGACACUGAUAUCGAUCGCACAUUUUAUCACAUGCCAGAGUGGACGACACACAUGCUUUCAGCAGGUCUUCCAACAAAUCUGGAAGAUUCUGGAUAACUCUCCGUGUCCUUCAGGUUUCUGCUCAGACGUAACCUUCUCCAGGAAGCCCACUCCAACUCCCAAGAUUAAAUUUUGCGUCCCUCUUCUAGGGGACCUGUACCUAUGGAAGGACAGUAAGAGCAUUUGGUCACCAGUUUACUUAUCUGUCUCACACAAAGGACUACAAGCAAAUUGAGAGGGGAAACAUUGCUUCUUUCAUCUUUGUGUUUUCAAUGCCUGGAAUCAAGGCUUGCACAUCGAAAGUAAUCGAGAAAUAUUCGUUGAAUGUUGAAUGAAUGACAGGUGUGAUAACUUCUAAUUACACUGAAAUUUUUAGCAACUCCCAUUUGUUCAGCCAUUCCCAAAGUAUUCAACUUAGUUACCAGAAAAAUAACACAUUUUUUUCUUUUCCCACUCUCAUAUCAUCAGCUUAUAUAAUAUUUAAUUUAAUUACGUAAUUACAAAAACAAGCACAACUGGCAUAAAGAAAUUUAAGGAUAAAAUCUUGACUCACUAGGCACAUAGCUGAACCCAUGAGAGCGGAAGUAAUUUACUAGCCGUAAGCACAGAGAUGGGCAACAUUUGUUCAUCUGUAAGUUAAGUAGGAGUCUCUUAAAGUUUCUACAGGAUAUAGAGACAGCUUACAAUUUAGUAAUAGUUAACAACCUGUUGAAGUUUAUUUGUAAGUUUGAUGAGUUGCAUCCUAAAACAUAUUUUGGCAGACAAGAUAAGAAAUGAUUAAUGCUUGCAAGAUUGGGCAAAAAGUCCUCAUUAACAUGGAAGUUGAACUAAUGCUACAUUAUUGUAGCCUGAAUUUUAGGUCCGGGGAGCUGGGGAAUAUAUAAUACAGAAAGGAGAAGGAAUCACAUAAAGAGGACUUUCCUUUUUCUUGGUACUGGAAAGGC